rnacentral:rRNA from 1 species
AACGAACGCUGGCGGCAUGCCUAACACAUGCAAGUCGAACGAUCCCUUCGGGGUUAGUGGCGCACGGGGGCGUAACGCGUGGGAACCUGCCCUUAGGUUUGGAAUAACUCAGAGAAAUUUGAGCUAAUACCGGAGAAUGUCUUCGGACCAAAGGUUUAUCGCCUUUGGAUGGGCCGGGGUUGGAUCCGCUUGUGGGGGGGGUAAAGGCCUACCAAGGGGACGAGACGUAGCGGGUCUGAGAGGAUGAUCCGCCACACUGGGACUGGGACACGGCCCAGACUCCUACGGGAGGCAGCAGUGGGGAAUAUUGGACAAUGGGCGGUAGCCUGAACCAGCAAUGCCGCGUGAGUGCUGAAGGCCUUAGGGUUGUAAAGCUCUUUUACACGGGAUGAUAAUGACAGUACCGGGAGAAUAAGCCCCGGCUAACUCCGUG